CCCGAAAAAACUUCACCAGCUCUAUUUCACGCUACUCAAACUUGUAACUUGAUAUAUUAUUAAACUUAAUCUUGUAUGGAUUAGGAACAAGCAUAUCAAGUUCGUUCUUCUACUGAAGCUCCUAGUGAGAUGUGUAAUAGAAAAUGAAGCCAUUCAGCUGCAGUGACAAUUUUAAUUUUAUCUAUAUUGUUAGUUAUUUAUCAUAAAGAAAACUCUCCAUGAAAAACACAUCUACAAUAAAAUUAAUGAAAAAGGAUUUUUGUAUGGAUGGCACAAAUGAAGCCUUACCGAGUUGAAACGAGUGCAACAUAGUCUUGGGUCCCGUAAGAUUUUUCUGGUACAGGUCUUCUCCAAAGUUUCCUCCUUUAAACAUUCUAACCUGAGAUUUAAACUGCAGAAAAUAUUAACGUCGAACAUCUAGAUUUUAUAUUUGGGCUUGAAGAUUAAGAAGAAUGGAAAUAAAC
rnacentral:lncRNA from 1 species